CAGCCGCUAGGUGCACAUAAGACCAGGACUUUUACUUGUCUGCAGUCAACCAAAUAGAUGUGUUGCAGAUUCAACGCCUCGUGAUACUGCCCUGCGAAGUUGGCGCUGGACCUGCCCAAUGGAGGAUAUGUUUACGCGGCUCGUCGGGAUUUUUUCGCUUCGCCGCAGCACGGGACUACUGCACAGCACAGCAAGCGGAGGCAGCGGCCGUUGAAACGUCCGGGCCGCCGAUUGUCUAGGGGUCAUUCCAUGGUCCUGAGGAGCAGCGCCGUCAGCUUGAACAAGUACUGCAGAAGUUUGACAAAAUCUUACGGAAAAACCGGGAACACUUGGAACACGUGUCAAUCGUCCUUGCAAGGAUAAAAGAAGCGGAAAUAACGAUCAACCACCGCAAGUUGCAGCAGGCAUCGUCCAGGAUCGGCCUUCUCGGCUUUGUGGUGGACGGAGUUGCUUUUGCAGGUCCCACGCUGCAUCCGACAGAGCGGGACCACUCCGUCGCCGAAAAGGAGUG